AUCGGACAGAGGAGACCAGGCGGGAAUGAUAGAUGAAAAUAAUAGUAGAUACCUACACGGAGGAUAAUGAACCUAAAGACAACACGAUUGUUAUUUGCUGCGGGUGCCGACUCAAUCCAAACGCAAAAACACUAUGAAUAUGAUAGCGACUGCAAAGUAUACACAAAACACAUUCAUUACACGAUCGAAUUAAACAUUCGUUAUUAAUUACUAUCCAUGACAUUCUCGAUCAAUAGUAUUGACAAAAUAGUACCUAUCGAAUAUAGUUUAGUUGAUUAGAUAAUUCGAUUUCGGUUUAACACAUUUAUUUUUACAAAUAACUACCGCCUCAAUUUAAGUAGGUAGGUGUCUACGUACACAAUACAUAAUAUCCUAUG